UACGUAUGGAGCAAGCGUUAUCCGGAUUUACUGGGUGUAAAGGGAGCGCAGGCGGCUUUGCAAGUCUGAUGUGAAAGGCCGGGGCUCAACCCCGGGACUGCAUUGGAAACUGUAAAGCUAGAGUGCCGGAGGGGUAAGCGGAAUUCCUAGUGUAGCGGUGAAAUGCGUAGAUAUUAGGAGGAACACCGGCGGCGAAGGCGGCUUACUGGACUGUAACUGACGUUGAGGCUCGAAAGCGUGGGGAGCAAACAGG
rnacentral:rRNA from 1 species